UCCAGUUUGAAAAUAACCUGAAAGAUGCCUGUCCACAGCCGCGAUCUGGAAUUACCUGGUAUGGAAAGGCCCUGGUUUUACCAAAAUAUAAAUAAUCAGUUGCGCGAGGUUCAAAAACAACAAGAAGGGGGAACCAACAAACUUCGAACACAGUUACAUUUGAUACAGGUUGUCUUCCAUGUACGUGGGUCGUCAGGGUCGAAAGUUAAGGAAAGAGCGGAGUAGUAGUAUUCUUUCAGAAUAUUCUUGAAAGUGGCAAGAG